UACGUAGGUGGCAAGCGUUGUUCGGAAUUAUUGGGCGUAAAGCGCGUGUAGGCGGCCCGGUAAGUCCGCUGUGAAAGUCGGGGGCUCAACCCUCGAAAGCCGGUGGAUACUGUCGGGCUAGAGUACGGAAGAGGCGAGUGGAAUUCCUGGUGUAGCGGUGAAAUGCGCAGAUAUCAGGAGGAACACCCAUUGCGAAGGCAGCUCGCUGGGACGUUACUGACGCUGAGACGCGAAAGCGUGGGGAGCAAACAGG
rnacentral:rRNA from 1 species